GUUAUGGUGACGUCAAAUUGUUUGUUUGUCCGAAUAUCAAUCCCACAACUACUAGCGUUUUUUAAGAAAUUCUUUUGUUUCUGUGCAAUGUUUGUCCGAAUGUCGAUCCCAAAGUGCAAUACGUUUCUGGAAAAAAUUCUAUUUUUAGACCCAUAACGACUUUGGUGCGUUUGUACGAUUUUAUUACCAAGCGUCAGCUUAUUUAUCAUAAGACUUCCAUGUAGUUUAUAUGCAAGUUUUAACUUUACAAAAAGUAAAUACUAUAUUGGAGACAUCGAUUCAACAUACUCUGUAAAUAGCAUUAAUGAAUGUGGUAUCUAUUGCGUUAGAAGUCCAAAUUGUGUUUUUGCUAAUUAUAAUGAAAAUCAAAAAAUUUGCAAGUUAAUGUCAUCGAAACCGAAAUUUUUAAACAGUAUAGUUGACCAACAGUGGCAAGUACUUAUGUCUGAAACUGAAAAUAACUCAAAUAUUGGCUUGAUUUGUGAAGAUAAUACUCCUUGUAAAAGUUUAUAUUGCAGGGAUAUAUGUUUAUCAGGUGAUCCGUUAGUUAACAGCUAUAUCUGCUCAGAAACGUCUGAUAUAUCAAGAAAAGCUGUUCCUUCAUUGUCUGGAACGUAUCCUGGCUCCGAUGCAAAAGACGCCAUUGAUGGAAAUAUACUUAGUGAAGCAACAACUAAUAAUUAUUAUCCGAAGUGGUUUAAACUCGACUUGCAAUAUGUUUUUCAGAUUUAUCAAAUAGUUAUUUACAAUGCUCAAAAAUAUUGGAGAACAAACGGUAACCGGUUAAUUGUGAGCAUAACCAACUUACCAACAGAUUAUAAGCAGAUUGCAACAUUGAACAGCGAAAUGAAACAAAUUUUUGACGGACCAUAUGUGGCUAGAUAUAUUCUUAUAUUUAAAGAUAACAAUGAUUUACUUAACUUUGGAGAAAUUAAUGUUUAUGUUUAAUUUAAUACUUUAAAUAUGUUAUUUUUACUCAUUUACGCCGUAAUUAGAAUGCGUUUGGAUAUUUUUAGUGUUAGACAUACUUGAUAAUAUUAUGUUUAAAAUAGUUUAUUAUUAGUGUAAAGAAUUUACGCAAUU
rnacentral:misc_RNA from 1 species